CUCAAACCCUUAACCUAUAGACACCCACACGGCCACACCACACGCAGUCACUGGCAAACACAUCUACUGUUUCGGCGUCGAUAAUAUUCACUUCCCGCUGGCCGCCGCACGCACACACAAAGACACCAACGCCGACGAUGCAACCAUGGGGUUAACUUCUAAUCAAUGGUUCUCUGCACGCUGGGUCAUAAGGAAGACCUUUUGGAGCUACAGGAUGAGGAGCUGGCUUCCACCAUGAGAGAACAAAUAAAGCGAGCAUUGUAAUUUUGGGAAAGAAAUUGGGUAUUUUGUUGCUUUUGCACCCUGUUUCCUUUAAGUUAUUAUUAUUAGCCACCUCUACCUAAUUUUUAGUGGUAUGUUUAUCUAGCAUUCUGUUGUACCCCUUAAAAUAAAAUGCCUCGCUCAGGAACCGGAGAGAUUUAUGUAGGCGUUGAGUAUGGCACAAUCUCGAUGUAUCAGCAAGCAAAUAAGAAUUGGCGCCCUAAUUCAGGAUACAAAUAUGUUAGUUCCUUAUACUGGUCAGUACGUCCUGAUAUAUAUAUAUAUGUAUGUAUUUCACACCGAUCAAUACUCCCUCCGUCGCCUUACAAUGUGCUCAUUUUUCAUUUGGGAUUUUCAUAAAAAAAAUAUUCUUGUUUCUCUUUUUAAUAAAAAAAUAUAUUACUUUUUGUAUUUUCUUGCUAUAAAAAGAAAAAAGUAACAAAAAGUACACACCUCAUAUUGAAACCCAUAUCCGAAAGUUUGAGCACAUUUUUUGGGGAUGGAGGAAGUAUUUGAUUUUCUAUUCAUGUUUGGCUUGUUUAGGUGUUGUUCACCCUUGGGGUGUGUUUGGUUCAACGUUCAACAAAGGGUAGUGUAUUGGUUCAUAUGGAAUGAAGAAAAGGGGAGGGGGGGGGGGAGAUACCUAGUAAUUUUGCAUUUGAUUAGGGAAUUGAGGUGAAGGAAAAUAAAUUAUUUUCCAAUUAUACUACUAUAUUACUGGGAAAAACCAUAAACAAAAAGCUACAAUUUAGGUGAGUUUAUUUUACUAUAUUGCUAGGGAGAUCUUUAUUGAUAGUAAAUGGUUGACUUUAUGGUUCUGAUUAUGUCGCAGUGCUGGGACAAUUGAGGUUAUUUUGGUCAACCAAUGGGAAUAUAUGUAGUUAUUUUUUAUUAAAAGUUAUUGUGUUAUGUCUUUUUCUAUAAGAGCUUUUGGCUAUUUUGUUAUGUUGUUGGGUUCAAUAUAAUGAUGUGUGUCAAAUGACGACAUGCGACUUCGAAAAAGUAUACAAUCUUCCUGGGACUUUUCUAGUGUUAAGCGACUCUGUAUUUUAAAGCGACUCUAGUGUGAGCUCAAAGCUGGUUUCCCAAAAUGUAUUUUGUUAUUAUUAUUUUUCCUUAUUUUUCUUUACAUGAUUUAAUCCGCAUUGGUGUCCCCAAAAUGUACUUUAGCCUCUUUUAAAUAAUAUGAUGUGGGUUGAUUCUUUGGGUGCACUAUUUUGGAAUUUGAUUAUAUGUUCUUUUACUAUGCAACUAUCAUGAUUCUUAUCAAAAGACAAUCAAACUCUAAAUGAGCACACUCUAUUUCUUGGUUUUAUAUAUAUAUAUAUAAAUAUAUGUGCACAUUCUGAUAUGUCUUGUAUAGAGUAGUGGGCAUAGUAGUUUUGAAAAUGAGAUUCACCAUCCUGCUCCGGUUCAGAAGAAAACUGACUCUAUGUUGAAUCUAAUGUUACGAGAAGUAACUUGAGAAUUAAAUGUGUUGCUCGUAAAACAGACUAUUUAGAUGCUUUGAUGGAUAUUGCAGAGGACAUAUUGCAUGCAGUUCUCUUUCUUAGACCUAAUUGAUAUCUGUCAAGCAGCAGGGGUUUGCAGACAAUGGAGACACAAGUUGUUUUGAAGACUUCUUAUGGUUUUUAAAUUUUGAGAAUAAAGCGAUGUUUAUCAAACGAUGUAAGUGUAGUUCAAUUGUGAUAUGCUAUUUGUUCAACGAUUUUUUUAUCCAUUAUAUGACAUUUUGAUAUAAAUAUGGAUUCAAAGUUCUUUCUGCCUACAUUUUAGAUAUGUGAAAUAUGAUCAAGUAUAAUCCAACUAUUAUUCGGCUUAAAGCCUUUUCAUUCUUACAUGCAUGUGUUGAUUCUCUUGUCCCAGAGAGUUAAGAACUUACUUUUAACUUUGUUCUUUCAUUUAGUUGAAACCAUGUGUGAUCGAUAUCCAAACACUACAAGUGUGAAUGUCUAUGGUGCUCCAGAAUUGACCUUCUUAGAAUAAAAACAUUAGCCUUAUUGAGGUAUAUACAAUAUGCAUUUUUUUAAGAUGGUUUAACUGUGGUAGUCUUAUAUUAUAUUUAUGAACCUCUCAUUUAUCCUAGAAAUCUUGAGAGUUUAACUCUGGGCAAAAGCUAGUUGCCAGAGGCAUUUUUCCAAGUCUUAAUUGAUUGCCGUAUGUUGAAUAAAUUAGUUACAUUUCACAUGAUAGAUUAGUUGAGCUUCACAUACAGAGAUGUCCGCGCUGCAUAUCUGUCAGGUACAAAGUUUACCAUUUUUGUCGCAUUUUGUCCUAUUGUAUUGUUUUUCAACUGCAUUAAUUAUAUUUAUGGUCUUCUUCAAAUAUUCACACCUUGAAACUUUGUCUCUCAGACGUAGUAGCAUGUCUCAUGUAAUACUCAAUUGUCGCAUUUUGCAAGAACUUGAUAUCACUUCCUGUCAAAAGCUUUUUGAUGGUGCAAUUUGUUCAUUAGCAAAAUCCUCCCCAUGAUUGGAAUCCUUGGAUAUGUCGAAUUUUUUUCAAACUGAACCUAACGGAGUAAGGAAGAAAGUGGCUCUUCAUACCAAAAGAUACACACUGGUGGUAUGCGACUAAGAUGAAAAUGAGAUCCAGCUUAUGAGGAAAAGGUCCUAAAGCAGCUUAAUAAUAGCAUACAAGAGGCUUAUAACAAGUGGAUGAGCAAUCUAAGAAAUGCGCGGGAUAGAACCUUGCACUUGGUUUAUUUUAUGUUAUCGUAUGAUAUUGGGAACAAAGUUUAUUUUGUAUUCUAUUGUGUUAACUUUUUGGAUUGUUGUUGGAAUGACUAUAUUAUUAGUUUGUUAUUUUUUGGGACAAGUGUAUGAAUGUAAAAUGAAUCUAUAUUGUUAGUUUGAAAUUGUUUGGAACAGACAUUGGAAUUCGAAAUGAAUCUAU